AUGAGUCGACCUGAUGGGAUCAACAUCCCCGACGGCAAGUUCUACCUUGGAGAUGCUGGCUAUGCAUGUCGGCCGGGUAUUCUUCCACCCUUCAGAAAAACAAGGUACCAUCUCAACGAGUUCUCUGGUAGGAACUUUCCUAGGAUUGCACAGGAGCUAUUUAAUCUCAAACACUCCAGCCUUAGAGUAACUGUUGAGAGGGCAUUUGGAGCUCUGAAGAAUAGGUUUAAGAUCCUGGAUCAGAAGCCAUUCCAGCCAUACUCCACUCAAGUUAAGUUAGUUCUUGCUUGUUGCAUUCUGCAUAACUGGAUCCUCUAG
rnacentral:rRNA from 1 species